CAGUCGCCACGGGAAUACGAAGGGUGCAAGCGUUACUCGGAAUUACUGGGCGUAAAGCGUGCGUAGGUGGUGGUUUAAGUCCGUUGUGAAAGCCCUGGGCUCAACCUGGGAAUUGCAGUGGAUACUGGGCAACUAGAGUAAGGUAGAGGAUAGUGGAAUUUCCGGUGUAGCAGUGAAAUGCGUAGAGAUCGGAAGGAACAUCUGUGGCGAAGGCGACUAUCUGGGCCAUUACUGACACUGAGGCACGAAAGCGUGGGGAGCAAACAGGAUUAGAUACCCCUGUAGUCCUUGUCUCUUAUAC
rnacentral:rRNA from 1 species